rnacentral:rRNA from 1 species
GCACAAGCGGUGGAGUAUGUGGUUUAAUUCGACGCAACGCGCAGAACCUUACCUAGACUUGACAUCCCGGGGAUUUUCUGGAAACAGAGAAGUGCUUUAGCAAUAAGAACCCGGUGACAGGUGCUGCAUGGCUGUCGUCAGCUCGUGUCGUGAGAUGUUGGGUUAAGUCCCGCAACGAGCGCAACCCUCGCCUUUAGUUGCCAGCAUUCAGUUGGGCACUCUAGAGGGACUGCCGGUGUCAAACCGGAGGAAGGUGGGAUGACGUCAAGUCCUCAUGGCCUUUAUGUCUAGGGCUACACACGUACUACAAUGGCAGGUACAAAGGGCAGCGACACAGCGAUGUGAUGCGAAUCCCGAAAAGCCUGUCUCAGUCCGGAUCGGAGUCUGCAACUCGACUCCGUGAAGUUGGAAUCGCUAGUAAUCGUGGAUCAGCAUGCCCACGUCCGAUACGUUCCGGCCUU